AACGAACGCUGGCGGCAGGCUUAACACAUGCAAGUCGAACGCACCUUUCGGGGUGAGUGGCCGACGGGUGAGUAACGCGUGGGAAUCUACCCUUCUCUACGGGAUAGCUCCGGGAAACUGGAAUUAAUACCGUAUACGUCCUUAGGGAGAAAGAUUUAGCGGGGGAGGAUGAGCCCGCGGCGGAUUCGCUAGUUGGGGGGGUAAAGGCCUACCAAGGCGACGAUCCGUAGCUGGUCUAAGAGGAUGAUCGGGCACAGUGGGACUGAGACACGGCCCAGACGGCGACGGGAGGCAGCAGGGGGGAAGAGUGCAGAAUGGGCGGAAGCCUGAUGCAGCAACGCCGCGGGGGGGAAGACGGCCUUCGGGUUGGAAAGCGCUUGCGCCUGUGACGAAGCGGGAGUGACGGUAAGGAGUAAAGAAGCACCGGCUAACUACGUG
rnacentral:rRNA from 1 species